UAUCAGCUUGUUACUGUUCGUGAAUUAAACCUCUUCCCAUCAGAUGAAUCCUCUUGUUCUGGUUUUUAAGCAGGCACAUUUUUAAUAGAUAAUGGAUCUCUGUUUAUGUUCUAAGUUUGUUUCCUGCUGGUUCAUAAACAAAUUUCUUUGACGGUCUAAGUAAUCACUUUGAUAGUGAGAAACUUCUGACAGUGUCAAUAGCAUGUGAGUAAAAGUCGAUUAAGCAAGUAUACCGAUUGAAGAACCAUUUUGGAAUAUUGGCUACAAGCCAACAAAUGAUAUGGAUCAUAUAAAUUUCUUUACAGAUAUAAGAGAGUUAAUAAAUCUGGUGGAUAGAUUGAUUUUGACAUUCAUAAGGCCAUAAUUUGAUAUAAAAUUCUCAAAAACUGAAAACCUUCUUGACAAAUAAUUGUCUCGUCAAUAUUUUGCAAUUUAUGGUAUUUGUCCAUGCAGGGACACACCUCUAAGCAAUCAAGCUGCACGGAGGUGUUUGGAUUUCUUGAAGCCAAAGUUGAAUGAGUUUGAGGAGGAUAGCUGGGAAGAGCUGGACAGUAAGGACAUUACUAACAGUCCUCACACACUUCGCUGGCUAACAUGGUUUUCCAUUGAUGAGAAUUCAAGGUAUUACCUUGCAGUGGAGUGUCCUCAAAUCAGUGUUAACCCACCUGCACCUCGUUAUAGAGGAGUACCGGUUCCUAGGGAAGCCCUUCCAGGUAUUUUAUUGGAUGCACUGGUUGUUGAAGAUAUAGACCCAAACGCAUGGGCAGUUUAUGCAGCUCCCAAGCUUAAAACAUUGAAGGAAAAUGCAAAAUUUGAGCCCAAUAUAAUACCAAAGUCUGAGCUAUUUAGGCUUGCUUUUGUGGAAAGAGAUGAGCGCCUAGCUGCUAAAAGAGCAAAGAACAUGAGGCAACAUCUAAGGCGUGCAGAGAAAGAAUUUAUCAAAUACAGCAGUGGAGCAAAAUCUCAUUUUUUGGCUCAUCUGGCACAAAAAUCGCUCCAAAGAUAGGGUAAUUCUAUGUUCUUGAAUUUAAAUCAUUUUGUAUAUAUAUAUAUAUAUAUUAAAUAUUAUUUCAGCGCACCAUAAUAUGACACUUGCACAAUUCCCUUUGAUGUGCUUGGCUGGUUAACCGAACUGAUUUUCAAAACAGUUGUUUAUUGGCCAAUUUCUGGUCAAAUAUACUUUCAAAGAUGAAAGUGUUCUGUAAAAUGCUGACUACAUUUUCACCUAAAUGGCAUAUGCAACAUUUCAAAGCUGUA